AAUACUCCAAUACUACCCGCUGAACUUAAGCAUAUCAAUAAGCGGAGGAAAAGAAACUAACAAGGAUUCCCCUAGUAACUGCGAGUGAAGCGGGAAGAGCUCAAAUUUAAAAUCUGGCAGUCUCUGGCUGUCCGAGUUGUAAUUUAGAGAAGUGUUGCCCGUGCUGGACCGUAUACAAGUCCUCUGGAAUGGGGCGUCAUAGAGGGUGAGAAUCCCGUCUUUGAUACGGACUACCAGUGCUUUGUGGUGCGCUCUCGAAGAGUCGAGUUGUUUGGGAAUGCAGCUCAAAAUGGGUGGUAAAUUCCAUCUAAAGCUAAAUAUAGGCGAGAGACCGAUAGCGAACAAGUACCGUGAGGGAAAGAUGAAAAGCACUUUGGAAAGAGAGUUAAACAGUACGUGAAAUUGCUGAAAGGGAAACGCUUGAAGUCAGUCGCGUCGCUCAAGAAUCAGCCUUGCUUUUUUUGCUUGGUGUACUUCUUGUUCGAUGGGUCAGCAUCAGUUUUGAUCAUUGGAUAAGGGCUAGAGAAAUGUGGCAUCCUCGGAUGUGUUAUAGUCUUUGGUUAUAUACAGUGGUUGGGACUGAGGAACUCAGCAUGCCGCAAGGACGGGUCUUUGACUACGUUACAUGCUUAGGAUGCUGGCAUAAUGGCUUUAAUCGACCCGUCUUGAAACACGGACCAAGGAGUCUAACAUGCCUGCGAGUGUUUGGGUGGAAAACCCGAGCGCGUAAUGAAAGUGAAAGUUGAGAUCUCUGUCAUGGAGAGCAUCGACGCCCAUA
rnacentral:rRNA from 1 species